GGCACAACAACAUUUUUAGGAUUCACAGCUGCAGGCUUUGUGGUCUUUCAGGGAAAUAAGAGAAUCCAUUUGAUAAAAUGGCCAGAUGUCUGCAAAUUGAAGUUUGAAGGGAAGACAUUUUAUGUGAUUGGCACCCAGAAGGAGAAAAAAGCCAUGUUGGCAUUCCAUACUUCAACACCAGCUGCCUGCAAACAUCUUUGGAAGUGUGGAGUGGAAAACCAGGCCUUUUAUAAGUAUGCAAAAUCCAGUCAGAUCAAGACUGUAUCAAGCAGCAAGAUAUUUUUUAAAGGAAGUAGAUUUCGAUAUAGUGGGAAAGUUGCCAAAGAGGUGGUGGAGGCCAGUUCCAAGAUCCAGAGGGAGCCUCCUGAGGUGCACAGAUGUGUACAGAAGAAAAUUUGUUCCUGCUUUGGGGUGACUUGGUGAGGAGCUGUAAUGUGAAAGUCUGCAAAACCAGGCUAUCACACUGUAAGAAGCAGAAGACUACAGGAUGAGAGAAGCUGGAGAAUCUUGGCUCCAGGCAUGUUGGUGCAGAUCCUGAAAGUGCAGCCUGCCCACCAAUGAGAAAAGUCUUUAUGGUUCCCUCCUCUUCCCCAAAUUGUACUUAUUCAAUGCAGCAGAAAUGAAGAGGAAAUGAUAAAACAUAUCAUUCAUCUGUUUCAGAA
rnacentral:lncRNA from 1 species